CACUGAGCUUAAUCGAUAGGUAGAUGUAGUUUCUAGGUUCUUCCUACAGAAAGCCACUUCAGCUUUCUGGCUUGCUCGGAGCCUUGCCACACCCUGCCAAAACUGAGACGGAAAAGAAAUGCACAAAAUGGGGGAGGGGGGGGGGUUGGAAGGGGCGGGGGUUGCAGGCAAGAAGGGGCUUCUGUUAUAUCAAUGUCCAGAAGGGAAAUGUACAAAGGGGGCUUUCUGCUACAGGCCUACUAAGCAAAUUCUCACCCCACUUGGUGGGGUUUGUGAAUUAAUUUCUAACCAGGUAGCUUCUUCUUUGUGCACAGUAUUCUACAAACCAGAGGCCAGGAUCAGCAAAGCGCCAUACAAGUGCUCAAUAACAAGACAACAUAUCCACCAAAGUGGAUAUUAUGAGCCACUCACAGAAAUGCAACUGAAAAAG